ACAAAACUGGCAUUACAAUUACAUUCAUCAAUCAUCAGUAUAUAAACGUCCACAUUCGAAGAGAGUAAAUAGAUAUGAAUGCAACAUAACCAUUAAAGCUGCAACAAAACUGGCAUUACAAUUACAUUCAUCAAUCAUCAGUAUAUAAACGUCCACAUUCGAAGAGAGUAAAUAGAUAUGAAUGCAACAUAACCAUUAAAGCUGCUCACAGUUUUAUCGUGUUUAGCCCUGUUAAUCGUGACCGUCGAUGCUCCAUAGGCCAAAUGACAAUGCAUCGUGCAUGUUUUCGAUAUGGUCUGUUAUGGUAGAAAAGAAGUUAAAUACGUAAGUAGCAUCAUUCUAAUAUUAGGUUUAGAUAGCAAUUGCAAUUGGAUGCAUUGAAAGUGUCGAAAUGGGAUAAUUUUUCUGAUUUUUCAAUGCUAUCAAUUAUCAUGUGACAGUGGACCCCUUAAUUCAUUGUCUGAAGCAUAACACUAGAAAGAAAAUCAGUAUCCCAUAGAAAAUGUGACUGUUUGUAAAAUUGAAAUUUCAAAUGUUGGUGGCACCUUCGUAACCCCAAACCCUUGAAUUCAUUACUAUUUCUCAUGUGAUACAGCAAAAAUAGUGAAAAAAUAACCAAAAUUUCUCCAAAAGGAUGGAUCGAACUUUAAGAUUUACCGUCUAACAAAUUAGUAUUAAAGAUCGAUUCAAUAUAUCUAACAAAUUAGGUGAGUCGCAGCUCCAAUCUUCUGUUGGUCGUAACCCUCUUAUUCAUGUCGCUCCAUCCACAACUAGGGUCAUCUUCGAUAAUAUUUCUUCCAACUAUUGACCAAUAGGAGAAAACAAGAUCUUUAGCUCAGAAGAAAAGGUUGAAUUCCUGUCAUUCAUAUGCAGAAGAGAAAAAGAAAAUGUUAAAAUCAAGUUUUGUUUGCUCAACCCUCCCUCUUGGUUUAUUUUUGGAAUGAAAAAGAAAGAAAUUUUUAUGUAUAUCAUUAAAUUAGAAAAGUUAGCAAAGGUUGUUUAAAAUUUGACUGUGUUCUUCCGUGUUUAAUGGGCGUCAUUUUAUUUUAUUUUUGUGCAGAGAGAGAGAGAGAGAGAGAGAGAGAGAGAGAGAGAGAGGGGCAGUAGGUUAAAAAAAGUGGUGAAAACAAGAGAUGAAAGAGUCAACGAAGAAUAGAAUAGAGUAAUAGGGUUUAGUAACCCUAGCCAUCUGCCUGGAACUGUAUAUACACUGAAUUUCAUGUUUCAAAGUUAAAAUCCAAAGCAAAAUUACAACUCAUUAAGGUCGAUUUUAACUAAUGAUGACUACAUUAUUGGAUAAUCUACUGUUUGAGUGGCUCAGAUCACCGCCGCCUGCAAAAAAUAUAUAUAACAUAUAGAUAGAGAGAGAGAGUAGGAGUGGGAGUGGGAGUGGGAGUCUUCACUCUUGAAAGAUGAAAAUUCACCCAUGAAAGACCACCAUUAACCCUAAUUACAGACAAACGCACAGAGGAGAGAGAUCUAGAGAGAAAGAAAGAGAGCGGUGAUGGAAAAAUAGUGGAUUUGAAACAGAAAAAGGAAAUUGGAGAAGCAAAUUAAAUGGAUUUGUGUAUGAUGAGUAAAUGAUUUGAGAGGAACGAAGCCUGGUCCGAAGCCUUCACGUCGUCAAUGUAAACAGCAAACUGUGAUUGCUUCGAGCCAGCCAACGUCCCCCUCAAACAUUCUUCUUCUUCCUCUUCUCUCUGCUUCUCCAGUGGUGGAUAUAUAUAUAUAUACUCUCACAGUCUCACUCACAUAUAUCUAUAUAUAUCUCCAUCCCCCACAAGAAAACUGCAGCCUGGGGGGAGGGGGGAUUUGCUCACACUCUCUGAUACUGAAAACCUAAGGCCGAAGGUGCUGAUUUAUAGGAGGGAGAAUGGGGGGAAUUGGGUGGUUAGGGGUAGAGUUACUUCAGUUUUUAGUCG
rnacentral:lncRNA from 1 species